rnacentral:rRNA from 1 species
AGAAUCAACGCUGGCGGCGUGCCUAACACAUGCAAGUCGAACGAGAAAGGGGAGCAAUCCCUGAGUAAAGUGGCGCACGGGUGAGUAACACGUGACUAACCUACCCUAGAGUGGGGGAUAACUGAGGGAAACCUUAGCUAAUACCGCAUAAUACCCACGGGUCAAAGGAGCAAUUCGCUUUAGGAGGGGGUCGCGGUCGAUUAGUUAGUUGGCGGGGUAAUGGCCCACCAAGACUUUGAUCGAUAUCCGGCCUGAGAGGGCGCACGGACACACUGGAACUGAAACACGGUCCAGACUCCUACGGGAGGCAGCAGUGGGGAAUUUUGCGCAAUGGGGGAAACCCUGACGCAGCAACGCCGCGUGGAGGAUGAAGUACUUCGGUACGUAAACUCCUUUCGAUCGGGACGAUAAUGACGGUACCGGAAGAAGAAGCCCGGCUAACUUCGCGCCAGCAGCCGC